rnacentral:lncRNA from 1 species
GAGCCCGUGCCUUCCGGCAUCCCUCCCGUUCCGAUGCAGCACAUCGGCCUCACAAUGAAUACAUUUUUUGCCUUCGAGCCCGGGACUAACCCUCCCCGGAGCUCAAGCCUAAAUGUCAGCGGCCACAACUCUUCCUGCCCUCGUCCCUCGCCCAUGGAGGGCAAGGAUGUGAGGUGGGGAACGACCGCUGAGCAAGGCGAACGCGCUUACCUGGAAAGUAAAAGUCAGAAGACGACAGAGACCGCGAGCUCCAAGGAACGGGGAGAACAGAGAGACUGCGGCGCGGGAAGACGCCUGAUAAAGCGGACUCUACAUUGUUCACCUAGAAUGAAUUUGUUCAACAUUGUAAAGGCCUGUUCCCCACUCCCCCAGCAGCCCCACCACAAAUAGAUUUGCUAACCUUUAGAUGUUAUUCAUCUACAAUUCCUGACUGAGCUUUCUGUGACAUGUUCGCUGGUUUAUCAAGAGCAGUCCUGUAGAGGGGACUAAAGUGGCACAGAACUGUGAUAUACUGACAAGAGGUACAGGAGCAGGCCUUCCUAGAAGUGGAUCCACACCUACUGUGUAGGCUGACACAUCCAGGUGCUGGAUGCACCUGGAUGGAUGGUAUAUGAAUGCUAUGAAUCAGAGUCACCUAGCUAGGCCAAUCCCAGAACCCUGGCCCUCUAAAACCACAGAUGUUUGUUUUGUCUCGAGACAAGGUCUGACUUUGUAACUCAAUUUGUGAAUUGGCGCUUAGUUCCCUGGCCCCUUGAGCCUCACAUAGGCUAGAACAAAAUGCAUGCAGCAGCAUGCCUAAUAUACUCAUUAAGCUUUGUGCCAAUUUGAUAUCAAUAGAUACCUAAUACAUCUUCCCAGCAAA